rnacentral:misc_RNA from 1 species
GAUGAAGAACGCAGCGAAAUGCGAUAAGUAAUGUGAAUUGCAGAAUUCAGUGAAUCAUCGAAUCUUUGAACGCACCUUGCGCCCUUUGGCUAUUCCGAAGGGCAUGCCUGUUUGAGUAUCAUGAACACCUCAACUCUUCACGGCUUGCCGUGAUGAGUUUGGACUUUGGGGGUCUUGCUGGCCUACGAGCCAGCUCCUCUCCAAUGUAUUAGCUUGCCGGUGUUUGGUGGCAUCACAGGUGUGAUAACUAUCUACGCUUGUGGUUUUCCACUAGGUAACCUUCAGCAAUGGAGGUUCACCGGAGCUCACAAAUGUCUCUCCUUGCCAAGGACAGAUUUUGACCAUUUGAUCUCAAAUCAGGUAGGACUACCCGCUGAACUUAAGCAUAUCAAUAAGCGGAGGA